GUGGGGAAUAUUGGACAAUGGGCGAAAGCCUGAUCCAGCCAUGCCGCGUGUGUGAAGAAGGUCUUCGGAUUGUAAAGCACUUUAAGUUGGGAGGAAGGGCAGUAAGUUAAUACCUUGCUGUUUUGACGUUACCGACAGAAUAAGCACCGGCUAACUUCGUGCCAGCAGCCGCGGUAAUACGAAGGGUGCAAGCGUUAAUCGGAAUUACUGGGCGUAAAGCGCGCGUAGGUGGUUUUGUAAGUUGGAGGUGAAAUCCCCGGGCUCAACCUGGGAACUGCCUCCAAAACUACAUGACUAGAGUACGGUAGAGGGUAGUGGAAUUUCCUGUGUAGCGGUGAAAUGCGUAGAUAUAGGAAGGAACACCAGUGGCGAAGGCGACUACCUGGACUGAUACUGACACUGAGGUGCGAAAGCGUGGGGAGCAAACAGGAUUAGAUACCCGUGUAGUCC
rnacentral:rRNA from 1 species